GAUUACACCCAUACCACCCUGAGCAUGCCUGAUGCCAGGCACUAAGCAGGGUUGGGCCUGGGUAAUACUUGGAUGGGAGAUUGCUCGGGAAACCUCAGUGCUGUGAGCU
rnacentral:rRNA from 1 species